rnacentral:rRNA from 1 species
UCAAAGGAAUUGACGGGGCCCGCACAAGCGGUGGAGCAUGUGGUUUAAUUCGACGCAACGCGAAAAACCGUUACCUGGGUUUGACAUGCCGAGUACCCGAUGGAAACAUUGGGGUGCCCCGUAAGGGGAACUUGGACACAGGUGCUGCAUGGCUGUCGUCAGCUCGUGCCGUGAGGUGUUGGGUUAAGUCCCGCAACGAGCGCAACCCUCACCCUUAGUUGCCAUCAUUAAGUUGGGCACCCUAAGGGAACUGCGCAGUUAAUGCGGAGGAAGGUGGGGAUGACGUCAAGUCCUCAUGGCCCUUAUAUCCAGGGCUACACACGUGCUACAAUGGUCGGGACAGAGGGUCGCCAACCCGCGAGGGGGAGCCAAUCUCAGAAACCCGAUCGUAGUCCGGAUCGCAGUCUGCAACUCGACUGCGUGAAGUCGGAAUCGCUAGUAAUCGCGGAUCAGAAUGUCGCGGUGAAUACGUUCCCGGGUCUU